UUUCAGAAAAAGCUUAUAAUUUUAUUACAUAAUUUCAAAAUUUGUUAGUAUUUUAGUCAGUUUGUUUUAUGUUCUUUUUGCUACAGCCUGUUGGAGGUUGACCUAGUUAUAUUAAACUUGUCAUUAAAGAUAUAAACAACGAUAAACGUAUUGGAAUGACAUUAAGAUAUAAAUAAAAUAAAGCUAUUUAAAAAAAAAUUUUUUUCAUCCAAUGUAGAUUUUGAAAAUGAUAUUCAAAUGAAGGCUCGGUACAGAGAAAAUGAACACGUGUGGUACUUUCAGUUUAACAAGUCCUUCAGGAGCUAAGGGGUGUAUUUACACUACAAUUUGUUGAAUAUUAAAAUUACUGCAGGUCUACGUAGAAAAAUGUGAAUUAACAUGUUUGAUAUGAUGGAUCUAAAGAGAGACAAUAACACCAUGAAUACACCUUCUGGUAACCCUAACGAAAGAGCAGUUCCUUGGUGUUGUUGGGGUAGAGGUAUGCGUAGCCUUUCUCAGGCAGAAUUCAUAACACAGUGGACCCAUUUAUUACCUCGACCAUCAAAAGACGAGUAUGGAUCUGAAAGAGGAAGAGGUCGAGGAAGAAUUCCUGUUUCAGUGAAUAUGGAAACUUAUAACAAGAGUCAUUCUUCCUUUGAAAACAUCCAUAUGUCAGGCAAUAAUGAAUCUAGGGAUGAUGGUGAUUUGAUAAGUAGCGUUAAAAAUCAUCUCAAUACUUUUGAAGAAAAAAAGCAAAGAUCUGUUCAAAAACAUUUACUUGGAAAGAGAUUUUGUCAUACAAAACCUCCACGCAUUGUCAAGUAUUCCACUGAGGUAGAAGAGACAGAUCUAAGUACGGACAGCUUUACAGGUUACCAAACUUCUCCUUCAAACAUAUCAGUCUGUAGUGUUUCAUUGAAGAAUGAGCCACGCUUGAAUGAUAUGGGUAAUGAAAAAGAAAUUGAACUUCCUUUCCGUUCUUCGUCACUUGGGUUUCAAAGUGAUAUCAAAGGAAAACAAGCAAUGGAGAAACAUAGUGAGAAAUCACGGUGUCCUGAGACAACUAAAAAUCCAUCUUACAGUAAACUCAGUGGCAUCUGUACCAGUGCAAAGGAAUCUAAUUUUAUCCAAUCAGAAGAAUUUGUUCUAAAACAUAAUCUUGAUGCGCCUCUUCAUUUGAGAAAAGAGAUUGAUACCACUCAAAAUCUGGAAAAGGAAUUUCAAUAUUUAAAUAUCAAAGCUUCCUCAAAAAGAAAAAAGAAAAAGGCUAAGAAAAAGAAAUCAACUAAUUGCGAGUUAACAACUAAAUCGUAUAGUAGUGUCCAGAGUAACGAAACUGAUUUAGCUGUUCAAGGUGUUCGAAAUACAACUUUAGGUAAUUCUAUACCAUUUGUAGAAAGAACUUUAGUAAUUGAAAACCUUCCAAUUGGUAUUAGUAAAUCCAGCUUGAUCGAUUAUUUUUGUGGCUUUGGAGAAGUUCAAGAUCUGAUCCUUCAAAAUGUGGACAACACGGAAAACAUUGCCUAUGUUGUAUUGUCACCAGAAACAAACACUGACUGGAUUAUUGAUUGUUUAAAUGAAAGCUCUGCUUUUGGAGGAAGCUCUACGACCAUACUGUGCCGAAGAAUUAGCUGUCAAGUAAAAUAAAGAUUCUGAUUAGUCUUGUGACAUCAUCUUCUCAAUUGUCUAUAAAAAAUAAAGUACUGAUAAUUAUGAUCUCAAAAAAAAAUUCCCAAAAUAACUUUUUUGAUUAGGCACUUGGGUUAUACUUUUUCUCACAUCAAACUAAUUGACUGAAGAUUGUAUGAAUGACCUGCAUCUUUAGUAAAUUAUAAGUCAACGAUGAUUAUUAGAUUAUUCAACUGUCUCUACAAGAGAAAUAUCAAAUGAGUAGAUGUAAAUUAAAAUAAUUAAUGUUGUUAAAAAGAGGUUUGUAAAAUAAUACAUUAAUUCAUAGUUUAAAAGGAAUUAUACUUUCCACCGCUCAACGUCAACAUUUAAUAGUCAGUCUUAGUACACUACCCUAGGAAAUAGUGUACCUAUGAAAGCAAAAAUACAUAAAUCAUAAAGUGUGUUUAGCAAGAAAAUUUUAUAUGAUAAGAACAGCUUAUGUUUCAGUGAACAUUUUGUAAUUUAUCGUCUUAAGAGUCCACACAUAUAACUGGAACCAUGAACCAGAUAAAAAGUUUUCUUUCAACACAAUUAUAUAAACAUAGAGUUUUAUUUUCUGGUUCUUUUGCAGAUAUGAUGCUGUUGAAUUAACGUGAAUGAAUUUAUUAAACGAAUGUGUGGUUUUAUGUGUUCUCACUUUUUUUAUGAAAUGUAUAAUGACUACAAAUGCAUUCCAACAUGGUGUAGUUCUUGAUGUGUUUUUUUUUAUUACACAGAAUGGUGAUAAAGAUUAUUUGUAUUAAAGUCUGUUGCUUGAUGUGACACUAUGGUGAUGUUAGUGGCAUCAUUUUAGGAUAAUCUGGUGUUAUCCUUUUUCAGUAUUAAUUCUUGCCAGGUUUGAAAGUUAGUAGAUCCCUUACAUGAACAUAUGUUUUUGUUCUAUGAACAAGUUUCUUAGAUUGGAGUAAGUUGCCAGGUGCUUGUAAGUUACUUCAUAUCUCAUGAAAAGGUCUUUAAAAUAACAUUUACAUCUUGUAGUUUUGUUAUUACAUAAAGUUG
rnacentral:misc_RNA from 1 species